rnacentral:rRNA from 1 species
GAUGAACGCUGGCGGCGUGCCUAAUACAUGCGAGUCGAGCGAACAGAUGAGGAGCUUGCUCCUCUGACGUUAGCGGCGGACGGGUGAGUAACACGUGGAUAAACAACCUAUAAGACUGGGAUAACUACGGGAAACCGGAGCUAAUACCGGAUAAUAUAUUGAACCGCAUGGUUCAAUAGUGAAAGACGGAUUUGCUGUCACUUAUAGAUGGAUCCGCGCCGCAUUAGCGAGUUGGUAAGGUAACGGCUUACCAAGGCAACGAUGCGUAGCCGACCUGAGAGGGUGAUCGCGCACACUGGAACUGGCACACGGUCCCGACUCCUACGGGAGGCAGCAGUAGGGAUUCUUCCGCAAUGGGCGAAAGCCUGACGGAGCAACGCCGCGUGAGUGAUGAAGGUCUUCGGAUCGUAAAACUCUGUUAUUAGGUAAGAACAAAUGUGUAAGUAACUAUGCACGUCUUGACGGUACCUAAACAGAUAGCCACGGCUAACUACGUG